ensembl:snRNA U6 U6 spliceosomal RNA
AUGCUCACUUCAGCAAUACAUAUAAUAAAAUUGGAACAAUAGAGAAGAUUAGCACGGCCCCUUGUGCAAGGAUGACAUGCAAAUCCAUGAAGCGUUCCAUAUUUGU